CAGUCGCCGCGGUAAAACGUAGGGUGCAAGCGUUAAUCGGAAUUACUGGGCGUAAAGCGUGCGCAGGCGGUUAUAUAAGACAGAUGUGAAAUCCCCGGGCUCAACCUGGGAACUGCAUUUGUGACUGUAUAGCUAGAGUACGGCAGAGGGGGAUGGAAUUCCGCGUGUAGCAGUGAAAUGCGUAGAUAUGCGGAGGAACACCGAUGGCGAAGGCAAUCCCCUGGGCCUGUACUGACGCUCAUGCACGAAAGCGUGGGGAGCAAACAGGAUUAGAGACCCCAGUAGUCCCUGUCUCUUAUAC
rnacentral:rRNA from 1 species